CAACGCUGGCUCUUGGCUGUGACAUGGCGUUGUAGAGGCUUCCUAUCGGUGGUUGGUGGUGAAAAAUUCUAGUCAUCUCGAUAUACCAAAAUCUUGAUGCUAGUUGGAAGUAUGACCACUAGAUGACUGGUAUAAAAUGCCACAAUACUUCUAAGGCACAAAUUAUAAAAUGGAAAAUUAAUAAAAACUAAAUACGAUAACGUUUAUUUCUCACGAAGAAGAACUUACAAAACAUUUAAUUUGGGGUUUCUGGUUGAGUUGCAAAAAUAAGUUCGGACACCUGGAGUACCAUACGACGUGAAAUGUGGAAGAUCUUCAAACAAAUUUCUGUCUUAAAAUAUGAUUUUGUUCACGCUAUUGGCUGAAACGCUGCAGAAUCGGACAUGUCGGAUUCUGCGGCGUUUCAUCAUUAAUUGCGUCAGCAAAUCAGUUAUGAAAUAUAAGUUUUAAGUAUACGUUUUUCGAUCGCUGCGAGAUCUUUUUUUGCUAUACGUAGGACUUGUGGGAUAUACUCUGUAUGAAGGACUAUUACAGAUUUCCCAUCAGAGGUUUAAAACCUCCUCCGAUAGAUUCUUGGGGCAUUGCGUAGGCCGAAUAGCAUCCUAGCAUAUUCACAGUGAACUGAUUCUGCAGUAAAUACAACUUCGUAAAUAUCUUCUUCAGCGAUCUCCGUCUGCCAGUACCCACCAAACACAUCGAUUGUUGAAAACUUUUUCGCUCCGUGUAACAAGUUUAGUGUGUUUUUUCUUCUUGGCAGACGGUAGUGAUCCUUUACCGUUACAGCAUUCAAAUCUCUGUAAUCAACACAAAUCUCAGAUCACUAUAUUUCUUAUUUACUAUAUCGAUGAGGUUCUAAAACCACAGUGGCUUUCUCUUAUUUUAUUAUAUUUCAGCAUCUCUUCAAUCUGCUGGCCGGCUAAUAGAUUUAAUUGCCGUUGGUAUCCUUUAGACCCCUCUCAACUUUGGAGUGCCAGUAGUUUCUAUCCCACGUUUUAGUACAACCAAUUAUAUUAACUUAGAUGCAAAUACCAUUUCUUGUUCUAUAAUACUUUCUAUAGUUCUACUCUAUCCGCUCCUUUUAGGUAGGGUAGUUCAAAUCUGAUUGU